GAUGAACGCUGGCGGCGUGCUUAACACAUGCAAGUCGAGCGAGAGAGUUCUUCGGAACAAUCUAGCGGCGGACGGGUGAGUAACACGUGGGCAACCUGCCUCAUAGAGGGGAAUAGCCUUCCGAAAGGAAGAUUAAUACCGCAUAACAUCGUUGAAGGGCAUCCUUCGAUGGUCAAAGGAGUAAUCCGCUAUGAGAUGGGCCCGCGGCGCAUUAGCUAGUUGGUGAGGUAACGGCUCACCAAGGCGACGAUGCGUAGCCGACCUGAGAGGGUGAUCGGCCACAUUGGGACUGAGACACGGCCCAGACUCCUACGGGAGGCAGCAGUGGGGAAUAUUGCACAAUGGGGGAAACCCUGAUGCAGCAACGCCGCGUGAGUGAUGACGGCCUUCGGGUUGUAAAGCUCUGUCUUUGGGGACGAUAAUGACGGUACCCAAGGAGGAAGUCACGGCUAACUACGUGCCAGCAGCCGCCUGUAAAAC
rnacentral:rRNA from 1 species